CACUGCCCACAUCGCGCAUCACAGGGGAGACAGCUCUGCCUUCUGUCAAACUACAAUAUUGAUCCAGAGUCCGGCUUCAGCCCCACCGCAGAGCCUGCCUUUUUGAUGAUCUUAUUCAGUCGGUGGAUGUUCCUCUUGCUGGUAUUGCUCCCCCAGCAGACCACAGCAUAGAGGAGCAUGCUGGCAACCACCGACUGAUAAAACAUCUGUAGCAGCUUUGUGCAGAUGUUGAACGAUGCCAGUCUCCUCAGAAAGUAAAGCCUGGCUUGCCCCUUCUUGUUCUGAGCCCAGUCCAAUUUGUCCAGUUGGAGCCCCAGGUACUUAUAAGAUGUGAAUGUCAUCAUAAGACCAUAGCCAACAUAAGUGUUGGGCAAUAUAUCAAUAUAAUAUCAAUAACAUUAUAUAAAAUA